rnacentral:rRNA from 1 species
GACGAACGCUGGCGGCGUGCUUAACACAUGCAAGUCGAACGGAAAGGCCCUGCUUUUGUGGUGUGCUCGAGUGGCGAACGGGUGAGUAACACGUGAGUAACCUGCCCUUGACUUUGGUAUAACUUCAGGAAACUGGGUCUAAUACCGGAUAGGAGCUCCUGCUGCAUGGUGGGGGUUGGAAAGUUUCGGCGGUUGGGGAUGGACUCGCGGCUUGUCAGCUUGUUGGUGGGGUAGUGGCUUACCAAGGCUUUGACGGGUAGCCGGCCUGAGAGGGUGACCGGCCACAUUGGGACUGAGAUACGGCCAAGACCCCUCCGGGAGGCAGAAGUGGGGAAUAUUGAACAAUGGGCGGAAGCCUGAUGCAGCACGGCCGCGUGCGGGAUGACGGCCUUCGGGUUGUAACCCGCUUUCGCCUGUGACGAAGCGUGAGUGACGGUAAUGGGUAAAGAAGCACCGGCUAACUACGUG